CUACGGAGGGUGCAAGCGUUAUCCGGAUUUAUUGGGUUUAAAGGGUUCGUAGGCGGACAAGUCAGUCAGUGGUGAAAGCCUGUGGCUCAACCAUAGAACUGCCAUUGAUACUGCUUGUCUUGAGUACACUUGAAGUGGGCGGAAUGAGUUAUGUAGCGGUGAAAUGCAUAGAUAUAACUUAGAACACCGAUUGCGAAGGCAGCUCACUAAAUUGUAACUGACGCUGAGGAACGAAAGCGUGGGGAGCGAACAGGAUUAGAAACCCUAGUAGUCC
rnacentral:rRNA from 1 species